rnacentral:ncRNA from 1 species
AAUAAAUUUUUUAUGGUUUAUAAAAUUUAUUUUAAGUUUAUUUUACAUAUAAAUUUUAGUGUUAACUAUUAAUUAUUUAAAUAAUAUUUAAUAUUUAGGUAGUAAUUAAUAUUAAAAAUUUAAGAAAUUAAGAUUUAGUAAUAUAAAAAAUAAUAACUAAUUUUGUGCCAGCAGUUGCGGUUAUACAAAAAUUAUUAUAAAUUUUUUUAGUAAUUAAUGAAUAUUUAUAAAUUAUAAUUAAAAAUUAAAUUUAUAAGGUGAAAUUUUAAUUUUAUAAUAAAUUAUUUUAUAAUUAUGAUUUAAUAAAUUUUAUAAAAAACUAGGAUUAGAUACCCUAUUAUAAAAAUUUAAAUUAAUAAUACUUAAAUAGUAGGUAAUAAUUUAUUGAAACUUAAAUAAUUUGGCGGUAUUUUAGUUUAUUUAGAGGAAUCUGUUUAUUAAUUGAUAAUCCACGAAUAAAUUUACUUAAUUUAAUAUUUUGUAUAUCGUUGUUAUAAAAAUAUUUUUUUAUAAAAAUAAUAUUUUAAUUUUUUUUAAGAAGUUAAAUCAGAUCAAGAUGCAGAUUAUAAUUAAGAAUAUAAUGGAUUACAAUAAAUUUAUUUAAUUGGAUUUUAAUUUGGAAUAAUUAAUUGAAAUUGGAUUUAAAAGUAAUUUUAUUUAAAUUAUUAAAAUGAUUUAAUAUUAAAAUAUGUACAUAUUGCCCGUCGCUUUCAUUAAUAAAUUGAAAUAAGUCGUAACAAAGUAGAGGUACUGGAAAGUGUUUCUAGAAAGAU